CUAGAGUUAAAACCAAUUUUGGUUGUGGACCAAACCUUCAGACUCUAAG
rnacentral:tRNA from 1 species